rnacentral:rRNA from 1 species
GACGAACGCUGGCGGCGUGCCUAAUGCAUGCAAGUCGAGCGACGCACACCGGAGGGGUAACCCAUCGGUAUGACGGAGCGGCGAACGGGUGAGUAACACGUGAGCAACCUGCCCCACAGAUCGGGAUAGCCCAGGGAAACCUGGAUUAAUACCGAAUAUCCUCGAGUAACCACAUGAUUGUUCGAGGAAAUGCCUUUGUGCUGUGGGAUGGGCUCGCGGCUUAUCAGCUAGUUGGUGGGGUAAUGGCCUACCAAGGCGGUGACGGGUAGCUGGUCUGAGAGGAUGAUCAGCCACAUUGGCACUGAGACACGGGCCAAACUCCUACGGGAGGCUG